GACGAACGCUGGCGGCGUGCUUAACACAUGCAAGUCGAACGAUGAAGCCGGAGCUUGCUCUGGUGAAUUAGUGGCGAACGGGUGAGUAACACGUGAGUAACCUGCCCUUGACUCUGGGAUAACUGCUAGAAAUGGUAGCUAAUACCGGAUACGACCCUCGGAGGCAUCUCCAGGGGGUGGAAAGAAUUUCGGUCAAGGAUGGACUCGCGGCCUAUCAGCUAGUUGGUGAGGUAACGGCUCACCAUGGCGACGACGGGUAGCCGAACUGAGAGGUUGAUCGGCCACAUUGGGACUGAGACACGGCCCAGACUCCUACGGGAGGCAGCAGUGGGGAAUAUUGCACAAUGGGGGAAACCCUGAUGCAGCAACGCCGCGUGAAGGAUGGAGGUCUUCGGAUUGUAAACUUCUUUAGUCGGGGAAGAAAGAAAUGACGGUACCCGAAGAAUAAGCCACGGCUAACUACGUGCCAGCCGCCGCAGUAA
rnacentral:rRNA from 1 species